AUUGAACGCUGGCGGCAGGCCUAACACAUGCAAGUCGAGCGGAUGAAGGGAGCUUGCUCCUGGAUUCAGCGGCGGACGGGUGAGUAAUGCCUAGGAAUCUGCCUGGUAGUGGGGGAUAACGUCCGGAAACGGGCGCUAAUACCGCAUACGUCCUGAGGGAGAAAGUGGGGGAUCUUCGGACCUCACGCUAUCAGAUGAGCCUAGGUCGGAUUAGCUAGUUGGUGGGGUAAAGGCCUACCAAGGCGACGAUCCGUAACUGGUCUGAGAGGAUGAUCAGUCACACUGGAAAUGAGACACGGUCCAGACUCCUACGGGAGGCAGCAGUGGGGAAUAUUGGACAAUGGGCGAAAGCCUGAUCCAGCCAUGCCGCGUGUGUGAAGAAGGUCUUCGGAUUGUAAAGCACUUUAAGUUGGGAGGAAGGGCAGUAAGUUAAUACCUUGCUGUUUUGACGUUACCAACAGAAUAAGCACCGGCUAACUUCGU
rnacentral:rRNA from 1 species